UUUUGAAACAGUUUACUGUAAAAAUGCUCAGAGGCUUUUACUGUGAAGUUACUAGGGGACUUUUAUUGUGAAGCAAGUAAAGGAAUUUUGUUGAGUUUUAAUUGCCACUUUAAGUCUUUUAAUUUGAAGGAGCUUUGUGACCUUUAUUGUGAAACUGUUGGUGGGCUUUUAUUGUGAAGUCAUAGGAGGACUUGUUUGCUUUUAAUUUCAAGCAUCUUUGUGCUUUUAUUUUGUGUGUACUGAGAGACUUUUAUUGUGAAGGAGCAGUAGUGCCCUGACCCAGCUUCAAGACUUUUAUUUUGUGUGAAGCUUUCAUUGUGAAGCAAACCAUAGACUUUUAAGCUUUUACUUUGAAACAUCGUUGUGACUUAUUGUAAUCGAUUUGGUGAUUUUCUUGCAAAGCUUAGGAUUCUUACUGUGGAGGCUUUUACUGCUCAAAUGUGUUUCAAGACUUUAAUUGUGAAGUGUUUGUGUGACUUCCUGCUUUUAAUGUAAUCUUUUGGAUUUUAAUGUAAAACAGCUGUAGGGCUUUUAUUAUAAAGAAGAUGGGGAGGGCUUUAACUUUGAAGAUGUUGGAGAACUAAUGCAAGGGCUUUUAUUUUAACAAGUGAACUUGAAAAGGUAAACUCAAAAUUAAACUGAUGGACUUUUACUGUAAAGCCGUUUUAGUGCUUUUACUUUGAAGGAACUUCGUGAGUUUUUUUUUCUUUGUAAACGGUAGGCUUUUAUUGUGGAGCCACGAUGGUUCUUCGCGGGGAAGUAGGUAAAGGGGUUUUACUUUGAAGCAGCCUGGGGAUCUCUACUGUCUCAUCUACAGAUGAGAGGCUUUUAUUGUGAAGCAGCAGCUUGGAGACUUUUAAUGUAAAACAUCUAUGUCGGGGGUCCCCAGUCCCAGUUCACGAGGGCCGGUGUCCCUGCAGGGUUUAGAUGUGUCCUUGAUCCAUCACAGCUGAAUUAAAUGGCGAAAUUAGCUCCUCAACAUGUCCUGAAGUUCUCCAGAGGCCUGAUGAUGAACUAAUCAUGUGAUUCAGGUGUGUUGACCAGGGUGAGAUCUAAAGCCUGCAGGACACCGGCCCUCGAGGCCUGGGAUUGGGGACCCCUGAUCUAUGUGACUUGCUGUAUAGGGUUUAAUAGGCUUUUACUGUGAAGCUGUAGGAGGAAUUUUAAGGUGAAGCUGGAUCAGAAACUUCAGGUUUAGUCUGCUCUGAUCAGUCACACCUUUA
ensembl:lncRNA